UACAGAGGUCUCAAGCGUUGUUCGGAUUCAUUGGGCGUAAAGGGUGUGUAGGUGGCGCCGUAAGUCGGGUGUGAAAUUUCGGAGCUUAACUCCGAAACUGCAUUCGAUACUGCGGUGCUUGAGGACUGGAGAGGAGACUGGAAUUCAUGGUGUAGCAGUGAAAUGCGUAGAGAUCAUGAGGAAGACCAGUGGCGAAGGCGGGUCUCUGGACAGUUCCUGACACUGAGCCACGAAGGCCAGGGGAGCAAACGGG
rnacentral:rRNA from 1 species